rnacentral:rRNA from 1 species
UACGGAGGGGACUAGCGUUGUUCGGAAUUACUGGGCGUAAAGCGCGCGUAGGCGGAUUUGCAAGUCGGGGGUGAAAGCCCGAGGCUCAACCUCGGAACUGCCCUCGAUACUGCAAAUCUCGAGUCCGAGAGAGGUGAGUGGAAUUCCUAGUGUAGAGGUGAAAUUCGUAGAUAUGGGGAGGAACACCGGUGGCGAAGGCGGCCAUCUGGACGGCUAUUGACGCUGAGACGCGAAAGCGUGGGGAGCAAACAGG